rnacentral:tRNA from 2 species
GGAGAGCUGUCCGAGUGGCCGAAGGAGCACGAUUGGAAAUCGUGUGUGCGGUCAACGCCGUACCGAGGGUUCGAAUCCCUCGCUCUCCGCCA